rnacentral:rRNA from 1 species
UACGAGGGGGGCUAGCGUUGUUCGGAAUCACUGGGCGUAAAGGGCGCGUAGGCGGCCGAUCAAGUCGGGGGUGAAAGCCCGGGGCUUAACCCCGGAAUUGCACCUCAAACUACAUGGCUAGAGCAUGGGAGAGGGUAGCAGAAUUCAUGGUGUAGCAGUGAAAUGCGUAGAUAUCAUGAGGAAUACCAGAGGCGAAGGCGGCUACCUGGACAAUUGCUGACGCUCAGGCACGAAAGCGUGGGGAGCAAAAGGG